rnacentral:rRNA from 1 species
UACGGAGGGUGCAAGCGUUAUCCGGAUUUACUGGGUUUAAAGGGUGCGCAGGCGGAUAUGUAAGUCAGUGGUGAAAUCUCCGGGCUUAACCCGGAACUGACCGUUGAUACUAUAUAUCUUGAAUGCUGUGGAGGUAAGCAGAAUAUGUCAUGUAGCGGUGAAAUGCUUAGAGAUGACAUAGAAUACCUAUUGCGAAGGCAGCUACUACGCAGAUAUUGACGCUCAUGCACGAAAGCGUGGGGAUCAAACAGG